GAUGAACGCUAGCGGCAGGCCUAAUACAUGCAAGUCGAACGAGGUCCAGGAGCUUGCUUUUGGUGAAAGUGGCGCACGGGUGCGUAACGCGUAUGCAACGUACCUUAAUCAGGGGGAUAGCCUCUCGAAAGAGAGAUUAACACCGCAUAACAUCAUUUUACGACAUCGUAGAAUGAUCAAAUAUUUAUAGUAUUAAGAUGGGCAUGUGUGACAUUAGCUAGUUGGUGAGGUAAUGGCUCACCAAGGCUACGAUGUCUAGGGGAUCUGAGAGGAUGAGCCCCCACACUGGUACUGAGACACGGACCAGACUCCUACGGGAGGCAGCAGUAAGGAAUAUUGGUCAAUGGAGGCAACUCUGAACCAGCCAUGCCGCGUGCAGGAAGACGGCCCUAUGGGUUGUAAACUGCUUUUAUACGGGAAUAAACCUCUCUACGUGUGGGCAGUUGAAUGUACUGUAAGAAUAAGGAUCGGCUAACUCCGUGCCAGCAGCCGCGGUAAGAC
rnacentral:rRNA from 1 species